GGCCCAAACUCCUACGGGAGGCAGCAGUAGGGAAUCUUCCACAAUGGACGAAAGUCUGAUGGAGCAACGCCGCGUGAGUGAAGAAGGGUUUCGGCUCGUAAAACUCUGUUGUUAAAGAAGAACAUAUCUGAGAGUAACUGUUCAGGUAUUGACGGUAUUUAACCAGAAAGCCACGGCUAACUACGUGCCAGCAGCCGCGGUAAUACGUAGGUGGCAAGCGUUGUCCGGAUUUAUUGGGCGUAAAGCGAGCGCAGGCGGUUUUUUAAGUCUGAUGUGAAAGCCUUCGGCUCAACCGAAGAAGUGCAUCGGAAACUGGGAAACUUGAGUGCAGAAGAGGACAGUGGAACUCCAUGUGUAGCGGUGAAAUGCGUAGAUAUAUGGAAGAACACCAGUGGCGAAGGCGGCUGUCUGGUCUGUAACUGACGCUGAGGCUCGAAAGUAUGGGUAGCAAACAGGAUUAGAUACCCUGGUAGUCCAUACCGUAAACGAUGAAUGCUAAGUGUUGGAGGGUUUCCGCCCUUCAGUGCUGCAGCUAACGCAUUAAGCAUUCCGCCUGGGGAGUACGGCCGCAAGGCUGAAACUCAAAGGAAUUGACGGGGGCCCGCACAAGCGGUGGAGCAUGUGGUUUAAUUCGAAGCUACGCGAAGAACCUUACCAGGUCUUGACAUACUAUGCAAAUCUAAGAGAUUAGACGUUCCCUUCGGGGACAUGGAUACAGGUGGUGCAUGGUUGUCGUCAGCUCGUGUCGUGAGAUGUUGGGUUAAGUCCCGCAACGAGCGCAACCCUUAUUAUCAGUUGCCAGCAUUAAGUUGGGCACUCUGGUGAGACUGCCGGUGACAAACCGGAGGAAGGUGGGGAUGACGUCAAAUCAUCAUGCCCCUUAUGACCUGGGCUACACACGUGCUACAAUGGAUGGUACAACGAGUUGCGAACUCGCGAGAGUAAGCUAAUCUCUUAAAGCCAUUCUCAGUUCGGAUUGUAGGCUGCAACUCGCCUACAUGAAGUCGGAAUCGCUAGUAAUCGCGGAUCAGCAUGCCGCGGUGAAUACGUUCCCGGGCCUUGUACACACCGCCCGUCACACCAUGAGAGUUUGUAACACCCAAAGUCGGUGGGGUAACCUUUUAGGAACCAGCCGCCUAAGGUGGGACAGAUGAUUAGGGUGAAGUCGUAACAAGGUAGCCGUAGGAGAACCUGCGGCUGGAUCACCUCCUUUCUAAGGAA
rnacentral:rRNA from 2 species